UUUAUUCUUAGUAUGUCGUGGAUCAUUAUGUUUUAUUCAUACUGCAGCUUAGGCAGGUUUGAAUCAAUUAACCCCCAGCCUAAAUGCGGUUAGAGACCUUGUUACAUUUGAAAUUUUGACUAUGUUCUUAUAGUCUUUUAUCUUUUUUUUUUUUGAAUUGGAAACAAAACUUUCAUUGAUAAAAUGAAAAGAUAAUACAUAAUAGAGGAUCAAAAGUUGCACUCGUACAUCUCAACUAGGUAAAACACACCCUUAACUGACCCGCAUCAUACCCAAAAAUCAAACCGCUACACCACAAAUUAUCACUGGUUUGUUCAGGUAAAAGGGUGGAAAUGUAUCCGAUUCUCGUAUUUGGAGUUUAGGUCCAUAUGUAAGAUUUUUGUUCAAAUCCUUAUCUAACCACUUGGUAGCUUUUAAAGUAAUUCAUAAAUUUAUUUCUAACAGCUUGUGGAGAACUGACUCUCGCCUCUCUCCUCCCUUCCUUCCUUUCGUCCCUAACCACACUUCAGCCCCCUUUUUCUCCUCCGGUAAGUUCCCUAGAGCCCAAAUCUUCUUGUCCAUCCCUGUUUCAGCGGUAGCAUGGUUUUGGUGAAAAUGGAAGUAGAAAGAUGCAAAGUAUUUGGUUCGACAAAGAUUACUUCCAUAUAGAAGACGUUGAAGCUUGAAAGAUCUUGUCAUUAUCAGCACUCAUUUCAGAUGGUUCUUAAAGGAAAUUUCUGAAUUCUUGCAUGGCCCUGAGAAUGGUUUUCUUCUUCGAAAUGGUUUUGAUGAUUUUGGAAGUACAAGACUCUUAAAAUUUAGUUCAAAAGUAGGUUGGUUUAUGAGGUGUGUAGCUUGGAAGAGGAACAAAAAUCUAUCCUUCAUCCAUAUUUGUUUUGGUGUCUCUUAAUAGGGUUAAAAUCCUUUCACAAAAUGUUAGAAAGAUUGUUGAUGAAGCACGAUUAUUCGAUUUGUUACAGAGAUCAUCCCCAAACCUCCUUCCAGUCUCCUUUUGAGUCAUUAAGAGUAAGUUAUGCUGAAAAGGUGAUGCUUAAUGGACCCUUUGUUCAGGAAUUGAUAAAACAAAACAUUUCUUCCCUCACCCUGACCUCAAAAUCUUAAAGUACAACUCAGCACUGGGUCAUUAAAAAUCUGGAAGUUUUAAAAGAAGACUUCGAUAAUCUAUGGAUUAUUUCAAGAUUAUAUGCGUUUGAUGAUUGGAAGGAAAUUAGAAAAACCUUGGAGGAUCUUUUUCAAUUAAAAAAAAUCAUUAAUCCAUUGUUCGGUGAGAAUGCUUUGAUUAAAUUGGUUGAAGGAUCUCUAGAAGAGUGUGUUGAAAAAAAAGAGUUAUGGCAAGUAAUGGGUCCAAUAAAAAACCUCCCUCUUGAUUAUUGGAGCAAUCAAAUGUUCAAAGUUAUAGGAGAUCAUUUUGGAGGUCUGGAAAAUAUUGCUUCUGAUUAAAAAGAAACCAAUGUGGUUUUGUACCCGCUACAUUAGAAAUAACAGAUUUUAACCCGCUAGAUUAGAAAUAACAGAUUUUAACUGAGGGAAUUUUUUCUUAUACUUUGGUGAUUUUGAACAGAUUGAGCUUCUUCCAUUAACCAAGGGCCAUUUAUCAUUCGAGGAUUUUUCAAACCCAUUGGACUUGCAGACAUUAAACCAGGCUUUAAAAGAUGAAGGAGUUGUUGGUGAUUCAUUCUUCUCAGAGGGGAUGGAAUAUCUAAAUUCAAUCCAAAAAAUUUCUUCAUAUACAAGGAAUUCUUUGGAAGCUUUGAUAUAGGGAGCUCGCCAGAUUUUAGGCUCGUUGGCGCCGAUUACCUCCUCUGAAGCGACAAUGGUUUUAAAUUUGGACUCCAAGGAAAGUAGUGUGAACUUGGUUGGAUUCGAAGAGCCACCCAUAAAAAGGAGAGAGAAUAAGAAAUUUUGUUUUGAAAGGUACAAGAAAGAAGAUGUUGAAGAGACACUUUUAAUGAAGAAAGAGAAAAUUCCAGACUGUCUUCUUUUACAGCUGGAAAGUCCCCUCAACCAGCCAGCAGCCCUCUUGGUGAUCCUCUGUCGAAUCCUAUGAACAAGAAGUUAAAAGCUGAAAUUAUUUCAGCUGCUAUUUUUCAGAAGAAACCAACAGCUGCUCCUCCUUUCAAUCCUUCAUCUUCAGCUCCCAUCUCCUCUUCUUCUCUUUUUUACUCAUCAAAAGGCUCCCGAGGAAAUUUGAAAAGAAAGAAUUUUGCUAAGAUCUUCCCACAUUACCUCGAGCCAUUUCUGAAGUAUUUUAUCUGGAAGAAAGAAUCAAAGAAGAUUAUGGCAAAACGUUUCUUAAAAGCUCAAAUUUUAGCUAAUCAAGUACCCGUUUUGGUUGAGGAAAAAUCUGCCCAUUCUCUUUCAUCAGCUUAUUCCAGCAGCUCCAAGCUGUUUGUAAAGGCCAAUCCUGAUUUAUUGGAAGUUAGUUGCACCCAAAUUUAAGCCCCAGCCCAUUCUUCUAGGUCAUUUUCUCAUCAUCCUCACUCUAACCAGUUUAAGUAUUCUGAGUUCUCUUUUCCUAACUCCAAGAUAAAAUUUUCUGAAGGGCUCUCCAAGCAAAAUCCCUCUCAAUCAAUCCAACAAGAAGAGUGAACCUUUUUUCGACUCCCCUUUCAGCGUUAGUAAUGAGCAAUUGGAGCAUUUGGAUAGGUCAACCGAACUUGAAAGUCAAAAACAUUUUGAGCCUCUAGAAACCGAUCUCAAUGCCCUAUUUCAAUGCAAGGAAGAGCCAGGUUCCGCAAAGUUGCCUUCUGCUACUCGUUCUUGUCACCAGUCUUGUGACCAACUUCAGUCAUUCUUGGACUUCUCUUCAUAUGGGUGGCAAGUAAAUCCAAUCCUUCACGCCGAUGCUGAAUAGUGGAAGACUUUUUCGAGCUUCCUCUGAAUUAUGGAUUAAUUUGGUUAGGCAUUUUCAAGGCAGCCGGUUGCAUCUUCUGGAAAGUUUUUAGUUUCAAUUUAAUUCCUUAUGAGAGGAUUUUGCAUUAUGCUUUGUAAUUAGAUUUCUUCGGAUAUGGUUUUGUUUA